rnacentral:rRNA from 1 species
GUGAGGAAUUUUCCGCAAUGGGCGAAAGCCUGACGGAGCAAUGCCGCGUGAAGGCUGAAGGCCUAUGGGUUGUAAACUUCUUUUCUCAGAAAAGAAUUAUGACGGUAUCUGAGGAAUAAGCACCGGCUAACUCUGUGCCAGCAGCCGCGGUAAGACAGAGGAUGCAAGCGUUAUCCGGAAUGAUUGGGCGUAAAGCGUCUGUAGGUUGUUUAACAAGCAUUCUGUCAAAGAUUAGGGCUUAACCCUAGAUAGGCAGAAUAAACUUUAAAGCUAGAGUUUGGUAGAGGCAUGGGGAAGUCCCGGUGGAGCGGUGAAAUGCGUAGAUAACGGGAGGAACACCAAAGGCGAAGGCACGCUGCUGGGCCAAUACUAACACUGAGAGACGAAAGCGAGGGGAGCAAAUGGGAUUAGAUACACGUGUAGUCC